rnacentral:rRNA from 1 species
UACGAGGGGGGCGAGCGUUGUUCGGAAUUAUUGGGCGUAAAGAGCGUGUAGGCGGCCUUACAGGUCAGCUGUGAAAACUCGAGGCUCAACCUCGAGACGUCGGUUGAAACCGUAUGGCUAGAGUCCGGAAGAGGAGAGUGGAAUUCCCGGUGUAGCGGUGAAAUGCGCAGAUAUCGGGAAGAACACCCGUGGCGAAGGCGGCUCUCUGGGACGGUACUGACGCUGAGACGCGAAAGCGUGGGGAGCGAACAGG